rnacentral:rRNA from 1 species
AUUGAACGCUGGCGGCAUGCUUUACACAUGCAAGUCGAACGGUAACAGGCCUUCGGGUGCUGACGAGUGGCGAACGGGUGAGUAAUGCAUCGGAACGUGCCCAGAGGUGGGGGAUAACGCAGCGAAAGCUGUGCUAAUACCGCAUGUGAUCUGAGGAUGAAAGCGGGGGACCAAGCAGCAAUGUUUGGCCUCGCGCCUCUGGAGCGGCCGAUGUCAGAUUAGGUAGUUGGUGGGGUAAAGGCCUACCAAGCCGACGAUCUGUAGCUGGUCUGAGAGGACGACCAGCCACCCUGGGACUGAGACACGGCCCAGACUCCCACGGGAGGCAGCAGUGGGGAAUUUUGGACAAUGGGCGAAAGCCUGAUCCAGCAAUGCCGCGUGCGGGAAGAAGGCCUUCGGGUUGUAAACCGCUUUUGUACGGAACGAAAAGGCUCUGGCUAAUACCUGGGGCUGAUGACGGUACCGUAAGAAUAAGCACCGGCUAACUACGUG